GCCGACGUAGCCCAACGGGAAGAGGCGCUGGUCUUAGGAACCAGCAAGUAAGAGUUUGAAUCUCUUCGUCGGCACCA
rnacentral:tRNA from 1 species